GGCAGUUCUCAGGUGAUGCACUCUGGAAUCGGGCUCCCUCCUCUCUGGUUCUGGGUGUGUCACCUGAGAACUGCA
rfam:Myotis brandtii contig158464, whole genome shotgun sequence.